GGCCUGAUAGCACAAUGGGUAGUGCAUCUGCGCGAUAUUACAAGUUUAUACGCACUGCGUAGUCACUAUAUAAGCAGAAAUGUCCUUGUUCGAUUCAAGGUCAGGCCA